UUUCCUUAUGAGCUGUAGACAUGCAAAUGGAUGUUAGGGAUAUGAGUAAAUUCUCUGACGAAUCAUUUGAUUGCGCCAUUGAUAAAGGUACUUUGGACUCUUUGAUGUGUGGUGUGGAGGCUCCUCUCAGCGCAGCUCAGAUGGUCCUGGAAGUGGACAGGCUACUUAAACCAGGGGGAGUCUUUAUGCUGGUA